rnacentral:rRNA from 1 species
AGUGAACGCUGGCGGUAGACCUAACACAUGCAAGUCGAGCGGCAGCACAGUAAGAGCUUGCUCUUACGGGUGGCGAGUGGCGGACGGGUGAGGAAUACAUCGGAAUCUACUUUUUCGUGGGGGAUAACGUAGGGAAACUUACGCUAAUACCGCAUACGACCUACGGGUGAAAGCAGGGGAUCUUCGGACCUUGCGCGAUUGAAUGAGCCGAUGUCGGAUUAGCUAGUUGGCGGGGUAAAGGCCCACCAAGGCGACGAUCCGUAGCUGGUCUGAGAGGAUGAUCAGCCACACUGGAACUGAGACACGGUCCAGACUCCUACGGGAGGCAGCAGUGGGGAAUAUUGGACAAAGGGCGCAAGCCUGAUCCAGCCAUACCGCGUGGGUGAAGAAGGCCUUCGGGUUGUAAAGCCCUUUUGUUGGGAAAGAAAAGCAGCAGGUUAAUACCCCGCUGUUCUGACGGUACCCAAAGAAUAAGCACCGGCUAACUUCGUG